rnacentral:rRNA from 1 species
CCUACGGGGGGCAGCAGUGAGGAAUAUUGGUCAAUGGCCGCAGGGCUGAACCAGCCAAGUCGCGUGAGGGAUGACGGUCCUAUGGAUUGUAAACCUCUUUUGUCAGGGAGCAAAGGGCGCCACGUGUGGCGUUUUGCGAGUACCUGAAGAAAAAGCAUCGGCUAACUCCGUGCCAGCAGCCGCGGUAAUACGGAGGAUGCGAGCGUUAUCCGGAUUUAUUGGGUUUAAAGGGUGCGCAGGCGGAAUGUCAAGUCAGCGGUAAAAUUUCGGGGCUCAACCCCGUCGUGCCGUUGAAACUGGCGUUCUUGAGGGAGCGAGAAGUAUGCGGAAUGCGUGGUGUAGCGGUGAAAUGCUUAGAUAUCACGAAGAACCCAGAUUGCGAAGGCAGCUUACUAAACUGUGACUGACGCUGAAGCACGAAAGCGUGGGUAUCGAACAGGAUUAGAUACCCGUGUAGUC